ACUCCUACGGGAGGCAGCAGUGGGGAAUCUUCGGCAAUGGGGGCAACCCUGACCGAGCCAUGCCGCGUGAGUGAAGAAGGUUUUCGGAUUGUAAAACUCUUUCGUCGGGGACGAUAAUGACGGUACCCGAAGAAGAGCCCCGGCUAACUUCGUGCAGUAGCCGCGGUAAUACGAAGGGGGCUAGCGUCGUUCGGAAUUACUGGGCGUAAAGCGCGCGUAGGCGGAUUGGAAAGUUGGGGGUGAAAAUCCCGGGGCUCAACCCCGGAACUGCCUCCAAAACUCCCAGUCUUGAGUGUGAGAGAGGCGAGUGGAAUUCCGAGUGUAGAGGUGAAAAUUCGUAGAUAUUCGGAGGAACACCAGUGGCGAAGGCGGCUCGCUGGCUCACAAACUGACGCUGAGGCGCGAAAAGCGUGGGGAGCAAAACAGGAUUAGAUACCCUGGUAGCUACGAG
rnacentral:rRNA from 1 species